rnacentral:lncRNA from 13 species
AAAAUUAAGUCUCACUUCGGACAUAAAAGAAGCUAGUGGGAGCUAUUCUGCAAAUAGGAUUUCCUAGCUGUCUCUGAUGAAGCAGCUUAUUCAAUAUCUUAUAAUUCGGUGCUUCCAAACAACCCUGACAUUUUUCUUCUGCUCAGAUUUUGAAAAAGAAAAUCAGCAUCCAAACUUGAAUAGCUUAUAAUCUGCCUUUUGUCAUUGGGUCUCACAUAACAUAAUCAGGUGUGCAGGUUGGCUUCCUUCUGUCUUCUUAGAAUAUGGUUUCCAUAUCUGGUCAACAGAGACUUGCCUGUUAUUUUAUUGGACAUACUGUUUUGUAAUUACUUUCUUCGUAGACAGAUAUAUAGUAGCCAGAGGGGAGGAUGUCAAAGGAAACAGCAGCAGAAAAAAUACUUAACACAGGUGGUAGGAGUAGAAUUGUCUCCUGUGGCAACCUUGGAAACUUGAUAUUGAAGAAGAGAGCACAAAAUGGAAAGAAAUCUGUCCCUGACACUGCAUGGAGAAAAGCUACCUGACCAGAAAUAUGCAGAUUGGACUGUUUUCUGAGCAAUAAAUAAACUAUUAUUGUGUUAAGCA